GGCAGCGUUUUGCGGGCGUCGGCUCACUUGACAGCAGUCUACUCGGAUUAAACAUGGACCAUUCCAUAGGCGAAUAAAGAAUGCAAUUCACCUAUAAUUGGAAAACCUAAUCUGUUGAUUUUUAAUUCCAAGAACAACAGCAGGCCUAUUAGCAUCAUCUUCAAUGCUUCAUGUAGCCUAUGCUUGAAAGCAUUCCUCUUCCGGCUACAGAGACUAGUGAGCACGCGCGUGCUCCGCAAGAGUGAACUGGUGCUGAUGCUGAAGAGGAGGCGCGCGCCUCACAUGAACGCAUCGCAUUACAUCACUUUGCUACGACGUGAUUGGCUGAAGGUCAAUGCGUACUUCGCUCGCGAACUAUCACAACCAUAUAUCUCGACUCGCACUCGAGAUAUUAUAGCUCUCAAAAUUGAUUGCAAAUAUAUUUUCGUUUAGUGCCCGUUUUGAGGAUGGCCGAGAGCGAGGCAGACACGCCAAGCACCCCGAUUGAGUUUGAGAGCAAAUACUACGAGUUUGAUGGAGUGCGACUUCCACCCUUCUGCAGAGGAAAGAUGGAGGAGAUCGCCAACUUCUCCCUCCGAAGUAGCGACAUAUGGAUUGUCACGUAUCCCAAGUCAGGUACCAGUCUCCUUCAGGAAGUUGUGUAUCUGGUGAGUCAGGGAGCGGAACCAGAUGAGAUUGGUCUGAUGAACAUCGAUGAGCAGCUUCCUGUUCUGGAGUACCCUCAGCCUGGCCUAGACAUUAUACAGGAAUUGACGUCUCCUCGUCUGAUCAAAAGCCACCUGCCCUACCGCUUCCUGCCUACAGCCAUGCACAAUGGAGAGUCCAAGGUGAUCUACAUGGCGAGGAACCCUAAAGAUCUUGUGGUGUCUUACUACCAGUUCCACCGCUCCCUCAGAACCAUGAGCUACCGCGGAACCUUUCAGGAGUUCUGCAGACGCUUCAUGAACGACAAGCUGGGAUAUGGUUCCUGGUUUGAGCACGUGCAGGAGUUCUGGGAGCAUCGCAUGGACUCAAACGUCCUCUUCCUGAAAUAUGAAGACAUGUACAAGGACCUGGGGACAUUGGUGGGGAAGCUGGCGAGGUUCCUGGGUGUCUCGUGUGACAAGGCCCAGCUGGAGACAAUGGUAGAGAGCUGCAACCAGCUCAUAGAGCAGUGCUGCAACUCAGAGGCCCUCUCCAUCUGCAGGGUGCAUAUGGACCCUAACCUCUGACCUGGUGCUGGUCUAACAUACAGCUCUGAGCUAAUAGGGCCAUAAACACACAUUCCUAUACACACUACUGGAGGACAGGUCGCGUGGGACUGUGGCAGGACAUCUUCACCGUGUCUAUGAACGACAAGUUUGACGCGGUGUAUAGACAGAAGAUGGGCAAGUCUGACCUGACCUUUGACUUCGGCCUGUGAGGACCGGACCGACUGACCACAACGACACGAACACGGACUUCCACUCCUCCUCCUGCUGCCUAAACACCGUACACUCCUCUGCCUCUCUUCAUCACUCAAUAAAUCAAUCAAUCAAUGAAUCAAUCAAACAAUCACGUUUUAGAUAUAUUGUAUAAUGCUGUAUGAAUGCUAUGGUGGGGAAUCAUAAGUCAAGUAUAGAGUAUAGAGACCCCCAUGACUGCCCUUUGAUACAGAGCAAGUGUUCCGUUUUAGCUGUAUCCAGGUCAGUUCCUAUUUGACCUAGUCCUUCAUUUUAGCACACGUUUUUCACUUUCAGUACAUUACAUUACAUUGCUUGUUUGUUACAAAAAGGCUUUCAAUGGGCAUUAGCUUAAUCAGCACUAGACUUUUUGUAUCAACCUUUCUUGCCGAGGUGAAUGGGGAAUGUGUGUGUGUGUGUGUCUGUCUGUGUGUGUGCGUGUGUGUGUGUGUGUGCGCGUGUGUGUGUGUGUACAUGCUCAUGUGUGAGCAAAAUCACAAAAAUGACACAUCACAACUGCCUUUCAUAUCAGUUCUGUUUGUUUAUGCUGCUAAAGUGAUGCCUUUCUCUGUCCUCAGACCCAUAGCCACCUAUAGAGUUACUGUACCACACUGAAACAACAGAGUAUCCCUCCAUGUUACCAGCAUUCUCUGUGUGCUCUCCCCCAAGUACAUGUAGCCCCUUUUCUCUUCCAUUGCUUGCGUCUCUUUCUCUCCUCCUCCUCCGCCUCCUCCCUGCUGUAAAUGCCCCCAGAGAGACCAGUAGACCCCCAAACCCCCAUCCCCUCUGCUCUGCUGGACACUUGUGAAUGUCUUCAUUGAUGUGGAUGUAACAACCUCAACCCCUCCCACAGGCUCAGUUCUGUGCUUAGGACAUCCCUGUUUUAUUCUCUCUCUCUCUCUCUCUGUUUCUCUCACUCUGUAUCUCUCUCUCUCUCUCUGUAUCUCUCUCUCUCUCUCUGUUUCUCUCACUCUGUCUGUAUCUCUCUAUCGAUUCAAUUGGCUUUAGAUACAUGUGUUUACAUUGCCAAAGCAAGUGGAAUAGACAAUAAACCAAAAGGGAAAUAAACUCUCUUGUCAGCUUUUUCGCUCAUUCUCUCUGUUUACGACCGUUGGCAAUCCUGCUGCAGCCCAUCUCUUCAAGGGUAAUGUGGUGUACUGUUUGUUUGGUUUUUAUAUGCCUGUAGGGUUGUCCUAACCUGGGCAUAAUGCAUCGUACUUUACAUGCUUGCUUGAUGGUUUAUUAAUAAAGUUAUGUCUAGA